rnacentral:rRNA from 1 species
ACCCGCUGAAUUUAAGCAUAUAAGUAAGUGGUGGAAAUUAAACCAACUGGGAUCUCUUCAGUAAUUGCGCAUGAACCAGGAUAUGCUUAGCUUGACAAAUGGAGCUGCUGGCUCUGAAUUGUAUUGUGGGAAUGUAUUACCAACAGAGGUGCAGGUGUCAGCCAUUUGAAAGAAAGCAUCAAUGAGGGUGAGAGUCCUGUUUGUCAUGUGCAGCCUUCUGUGCACGGUGUAUAUUUGCUGAGUCACACUCCUUGGCAUUGGAAUGCAAAGUGGGUGGUAAGUUUCAUGCAAAGGUAAAUAUGCAAUUGAGACUGAUAGCGCACAAGUACCAUGAGGGACAUAUGAAAAGGACUUUGAAAAGAGAAUUAAAUGAGUUUGUAUUUGCUAAACACAAAGUAAACAGACUUGAUUUCCUCAGUGAGAUUGUAGUGCUUGCUUAACAAUGGGUUUUGGCUGCAAGUGCAAUAAUUCUUGCUUUGUGUGCCAGUUUUUAUGUGGACAUUUGAUUACCUUUGCACAUGAAUGGUAAUUUUCCUGCGGGGUGUGGAUUGCAUAUGCAUGUAAUGAUUUGCAUGUUUGUUAAAUGUGUCUGGUGUAUUUGUUUGUGUCCUUGUCCUUGAGGUUGCUUUCUCCCUUGGGCUUACAUGCCCUGGCACACACAUUGUGGCAAAAUGCUUCUGCUUGACCCGUCUUGAAACACGGUCCAAGG